GACGAACGCUGGCGGCGUGGAUUAGGCAUGCAAGUCGAACGGUAGGAUACCUUCGGGUAUCUGAGAGUGGCGAACGGGUGAGUAACACGUAGGUGAUCUACCCUCAAGAUUGGGACAACCCAGGGAAACUUGGGCUAAUACCGGAUGAAAGCAGCAGUGAUGUUGUUUGAAAGGUGGCGUAAGCUGCCGUUUGGGGAUGAGCCUGCGUCCUAUUAGUUAGUUGGUGAGGUAACGGCUCACCUAGGCAAUGAUAGGUAGGCGGCCUUAACGGGUGGUCGCCCACACUGGGAUUGAGAUACGGCCCAGACUCCUACGGGAGGCAGCAGUCGAGAAUAGUCUACAAUGGUCGGAAGACUGAUAGUGCGACGCCGCGUGAACGAUGAAUCCCUUCGGGUGUAAAGUUCUUUUAUAUGUGAGCAGUGCUUCUUAUAUUAACAGCAUGGGGGGAGAGAUAUUAGCAUAUGAAUAAGCAACGGCUAACUCCGUGCCAGCAGCCGAC
rnacentral:rRNA from 1 species